UCGAGAAUUUUUCUCAAUGGGGGAAACCCUGAAGGAGCGACGCCGCGUGAAGGAUGAAGGUCUUCGGAUUGUAAACUUCUGUCAUUUGAGAACAAACUGCACGGAUUAACUGUCUGUGCACUGAUAGUAUCAGAAGAGGAAGAGACGGCUAACUCUGUGCCAGCAGCCGCGGUAAUACAGAGGUCUCGAGCGUUGUUCGGAUUCAUUGGGCGUAAAGGGUGCGUAGGUGGCUAGGUAAGUCGGAUGUGAAAUCCCGGGGCUCAACCCCGGAACUGCAUUCGAUACUGCCUGGCUAGAGUACUGGAGAGGAGAUUGGAAUUUACGGUGUAGCAGUGAAAUGCGUAGAUAUCGUAAGGAAGACCAGUGGCGAAGGCGGAUCUCUGGACAGUUACUGACACUGAGGCACGAAGGCCAGGGGAGCAAACG
rnacentral:rRNA from 1 species